CCCGCUGAGUUUAAGCAUAUCAAUAAGCG
rnacentral:rRNA from 2 species